GAUGAACGCUGGCGGCGUGCCUAAUACAUGCAAGUCGAGCGAACAGACGAGGAGCUUGCUCCUCUGACGUUAGCGGCGGACGGGUGAGUAACACGUGGAUAACCUACCUAUAAGACUGGGAUAACUUCGGGAAACCGGAGCUAAUACCGGAUAAUAUAUUGAACCGCAUGGUUCAAUAGUGAAAGACGGUUUUGCUGUCACUUAUAGAUUGAUCCGCGCCGCAUUAGCUAGUUGGUAAGGUAACGGCUUACCAAGGCAACGAUGCGUAGCCGACCUGAGAGGGUGGUCGGCCACACUGGAACUGAGACACGGUCCAGACUCCUACAGGAGGCAGCAGUAGGGAAUCUUCCGCAAGGGGCGAAAGCCUGACGGAGCAACGCCGCGUGAGUGAUGAAGGUCUUCGGAUCGUAAAACUCUGUUAUUAGGGAAGAACAAAUGUGUAAGUAACUAUGCACGUCUUGACGGUACCUAAUCAGAAAGCCACGGCUAACUACGUG
rnacentral:rRNA from 1 species